rnacentral:lncRNA from 1 species
AGGCCCAUUUUAACUGUGACAGUGCGGUGUCAAACUGCCACUCUCUCCUUUUUUUUUGCUUUGAAAUCUGCCAGCUCUUGGAAUCAGCCUCUACCAGGCCCCUCGGGUUUCGGGCUGGAGGAAGUGAGCAGGGAAGGUGGUGAAAAUAUUUUCUAAAUGGCAAACGAGAUCAAGAGGAUGGAGAAGUAAGGAUUGGAGGAGCCCUCUGAGCGUCCAUGAAGCACACAGAGGCAUGCGGAAGAGCUCGGCAAGCUGGAUUUGAACUCACUCUCAGCAUUUCCAGUUCCAUGACCUUGAGCAAACAUAGCUGACCUCUCAAUAGAACACAGUCUCCUCUUUAGAGAGUGAAGAUAGUAAAACACCCCUCACUUUUUUUUUCUCCCCAGAUUAGCAGGUGGGAAAACAGUUUUCAAAGGAUAAAUGAUGAUUCACAUA